UACAUAGGUCUCAAGCGUUGUUCGGAUUUAUUGGGCGUAAAGGGUGCGUAGGUGGCGCUGUAAGUCAGGUGUGAAAUUUCGGAGCUUAACUCCGAAACUGCAUUUGAUACUGCGGUGCUUGAGGACUGGAGAGGAGACUGGAAUUCACGGUGUAGCGGUGAAAUGCGUAGAUAUCGUGAGGAAGACCAGUGGCGAAGGCGGGUCUCUGGACAGUUCCUGACACUGAGGCACGAAGGCCAGGGGAGCGAACGGG
rnacentral:rRNA from 1 species